rnacentral:rRNA from 1 species
AGAGUUUGAUCAUGGCUCAGAUUGAACGCGUGGCGGCAUGUCCUUACACAUGCAAGUCGAACGGUAACGGGCCUUCGGGUGCCGACGAGUGGCGAACGGGUGAGUAAUGCAUCGGAACGUACCUUCAGUGGGGGAUAACGUAGCGAAAGUUACGCUAAUACCGCAUAUUCUGUGAGCAGGAAAGCAGGGGAUCGCAAGACCUUGCGCUGAUUGAGCGGCCGAUGUCAGAUUAGCUAGUUGGUGAGGUAAAGGCUCACCAAGGCGACGAUCUGUAGCGGGGUCUGAGAGGAUGAUCCGCCACACUGGAACUGAGACACGGUCCAGACUCCUACGGGAGGCAGCAGUGGGGAAUUUGGACAAUGGGGCAACCCUGAUCCAGCCAUGCCGCGUGAGUGAAGAAGGCCUUCGGGUUGUAAAGCUCUUUCGGCCGGGAAGAAAUCGCAUGGGUUAAUACCCUGUGCGGAUGACGGUACCGGCAUAAGAAGCACCGGCUAACUACGUG